rnacentral:tRNA from 1 species
GCGGGGGUGCCCGAGCUAGGUCAAAGGGGGCGGCCUGGGCCUCCGCUGGCGUAGGCCUGCCCGGGUUCGAAUCCCGGCCCCCGCACCA